rnacentral:rRNA from 1 species
GACGAACGCUGGCGGCGUGCUCAACACAUGCAAGUCGAACGGAAAGGCCCUGCUUUUGUGGGGUGCUCGAGUGGCGAACGGGUGAGUAACACGUGAGUAACCUGCCCUUGACUUUGGGAUAACUUCAGGAAACUGGGGCUAAUACCGGAUAGGAGCUCCUGCUGCAUGGUGGGGGUUGGAAAGUUUCGGCGGCUGGGGAUGGACUCGCGGCAUAUCAGCUUGUUGGUGGGGUAGUGGCUUACCAAGGCUUUGACGGGUAGCCGGCCUGAGAGGGUGACCGGCCACAUUGGUAGUGAUAUACGGCUCAAACUCCGACGCGGGACAGCAGUGAGGAAUAUUGGACAAUGGGCGGAAGCCUGAUGCAGCAACGCCGCGUGCGGGAUAACGGCCUUCGGGUUGUAAGCCGCUUUCGCCUGUGACGAAGCGUGAGUGACGGUAAUGGGUAAAGAAGCACCGGCUAACUACGUG